GCCAGGUGCAGUGACACAUACCUGUAAUUUCCCCUACUCAAGAGGCUGAGGCAGGAGGAUCUUAAGUUUGAGGCUUACCUCAGAAAUUUAGUGAGAUCCUGUCUCAA
rnacentral:sRNA from 1 species